UCGUAACAAGGUCUCCGUUGGUGAACCAGCGGAGGGAUCAUUACCGAGUUUACAACUCCCAAACCCCUGUGAACAUACCUAUAAUUUGCCUCGGCGGACUCAACGACGGUGCUCCGAGAAAUCGGUCGCCGCUCGCUGCCAGAGGAACCCCAAACUCUAUGUAUUCUUGUGGAUCUUCUGAGUAAAACAAAACAAAUAAAUCAAAACUUUCAACAACGGAUCUCUUGGUUCUGGCAUCGAUGAAGAACGCAGCGAAAUGCGAUAAGUAAUGUGAAUUGCAGAAUUCAGUGAAUCAUCGAAUCUUUGAACGCACAUUGCGCCCGCCAGUAUUCUGGCGGGCAUGCCUGUUCGAGCGUCAUUUCAACCCUCAAGCCCCCGGGCUUGGUGUUGGGGAUCGGCGAUAGUCGCCGUCCCCCAAAUCUAGUGGCGGUCUCGCUGUAGCCUCCAUUGCGUAGUAGCUAACACCUCGCAACUGGAACGCGGCGCGGCCAAGCCGUUAAACCCCCAACU
rnacentral:misc_RNA from 1 species